rnacentral:rRNA from 1 species
UACGUAGGUGGCAAGCGUUGUCCGGAAUUAUUGGGCGUAAAGCGCGCGCAGGCGGUCCUUUAAGUCUGAUGUGAAAGCCCACGGCUCAACCGUGGAGGGUCAUUGGAAACUGGGGGACUUGAGUACAGAAGAGAAGAGUGGAAUUCCACGUGUAGCGGUGAAAUGCGUAGAGAUGUGGAGGAACACCAGUGGCGAAGGCGACUCUUUGGUCUGUAACUGACGCUGAGGCGCGAAAGCCAGGGGAGCAAACGGG